GAUGUGUAUAUAUAUCACCUAUAUAUAGUGUGUAUAUAGAUAAUAAUAUGUAUGGUGUGUAUAUAGAUGAUCUGUAUAUGUUAUACACAUGAUCUAUAUGUGUUAUAUAAGAUCUAUAGAUGUAAUAUAUGAUCGACACAUGAUAUAAAUGUGAUCUAUAUAUGGAAUUUAUAGAAUCUAUAUAUAUGGUAUAGAUUCUUUAGUUUCUAAUUGAGGCUCUGUAGAGUUCAAACUUAGGCCCUUGUUGCAAAUCUUGAGCCUAAGAAAAAAUGCUGCUCUCGAUUUUUAUUAGCUAUAUUUCUUCUUUUUUCAUAAAUUUAUAAAAUUUAUAUUUUGAAUUCAUAAGAGAACUUGUAUGGUCUGUGUUAAAUCUUAUCCUUUUCCCUAUAAAUUAUUUUAGGCUCAAAAUGGUUGAGUUAGUUCUCUAAGGUCAUAUGAACAAGAAUUCAUCCUGUAAAUUCUGUCGUUUUAGAAAUUAUUUCUGGUUCCUCUAUCCAGUCUCCGAGGGCAAGAAGGCAUCCCACCCAGGCACUGUUACAACACACUAAAUUAAACUCAUCCCCACUCACAAUACAUGACCACCUCAGAAAACAUAUAAUAUUUAUUACAGUUCAUUGUUUAUGUGUGUAGAAUAUACAAGGCAUGUUCUACACACAGAAUAAAUAGUUGUGGAUUAGAUCCACUGUUGAAUGAGUAUCUUCCAUUAGAUUGUGUACUUCCUGAAGACAGAUUUAACACACAAAAAGGUACUCAACAAAUGAAUAUU
rnacentral:lncRNA from 10 species